rnacentral:misc_RNA from 1 species
GAUGAAGAACGCAGCAAAAUGCGAUAAGUAAUGUGAAUUGCAGAAUUCAGUGAAUCAUCGAAUUUUUGAACGCACAUUGCGCCCGCUGGUAUUCCGGCGGGCAUGCCUGUUCGAGCGUCAUUUCAACCCUCAAGCCCCCGGGUUUGGUGUUGGGGAUCGGCUCUGCCCUUCUGGGCGGUGCCGCCCCCGAAAUACAUUGGCGGUCUCGCUGCAGCCUCCAUUGCGUAGUAGCUAACACCUCGCAACUGGAACGCGGCGCGGCCAUGCCGUAAAACCCCAACUUCUGAAUGUUGACCUCGGAUCAGGUAGGAAUACCCGCUGAACUUAAGCAUAUCAAUAAGCGGAGGA